CAGUCGCCACGGUAAUACGAAGGGGGCUAGCGUUGCUCGGAAUGACUGGGCGUAAAGGGCGCGUAGGCGGUUUGUACAGUUGGAUGUGAAAUUCCUGGGCUUAACCUGGGGGCUGCAUUCAAUACGUGCAGGCUUGAGUGUGGAAGAGGGUUGUGGAAUUCCCAGUGUAGAGGUGAAAUUCGUAGAUAUUGGGAAGAACACCGGUGGCGAAGGCGGCAACCUGGUCCUUGACUGACGCUGAGGCGCGAAAGCGUGGGGAGCAAACAGGAUUAGAUACCCGCGUAGUCCCUGUCUCUUAUAC
rnacentral:rRNA from 1 species